rnacentral:rRNA from 1 species
GACGAACGCUGGCGGCGUGCUUAACACAUGCAAGUCGAGCGGAAAGGCCCUUCGGGGUACUCGAGCGGCGAACGGGUGAGUAACACGUGAGUAACCUGCCCUUGGCUCUGGGAUAGCUCCGGGAAACCGGAAUUAAUACCGGAUAUGACCUCGGCCGACAUCGGCUGUGGUGGAAAGAUUUAUCGGCCAGGGAUGGGCUCGCGGCCUAUCAGCUAGUUGGUGGGGUAACGGCCUACCAAGGCGACGACGGGUAGCCGGCCUGAGAGGGCGACCGGCCACACUGGGACUGAGACACGGCCCAGACUCCUACGGGAGGCAGCAGUGGGGAAUAUUGCGCAAUGGGCGAAAGCCUGACGCAGCGACGCCGCGUGGGGGAUGAAGGCCUUCGGUUGUAACCC